rnacentral:lncRNA from 12 species
GAAAGUGCCUUCCCUCUUCAAGGAGGUUUUUAUAGAGGCACCUGGGCUGAGAAUGUAUCUAUAAGAACAUGGCCAGCCUGGGCAGCCAAGUCCCUGGCUGCAGCUCCCUUCAGAGACUACAGUACCCAGGUACUACAUCUGGUGUAUGGAGGGCAACUUUCCCAGCGAGGCCUGUUAGAUAAAAUCUUGGUAAUUUUCAAUGCCCGGGCCUAAAAAUUCACACAUAGUUUUUUAACCAGGAGCUCGACUCCUCAGUCCUUAUUCAUUAAACAUCAACUUCCUCUGGCUUUCAAUCCCUUGAGAGAUUGUGUUGCAUAUCCUAUAAAUAAAAAGCAAAAACUGUGAUAUAUCCCCUCUUGGGUUCAAAGACCAGCUCUACCUUUUGUUAGUCAGCAUGUGACUCUGGGAAAAUCAUAUAUUAAGAGGGUAAAAAGGAAGGGCCUUUUUAGGUAUUCCAUAUUUAGUUUUUAAAAUCUUUAUUAAUUUAAGGAAUUAGUUGACAUUAUUAAAAUUAGUUGCAAAGUUAAUUGGAGUCUACAACUAUUAUUCUUUUACUUAGUAUUUCAUCAUGGACUGUAAUAAAUAAUUUUUAUUUUGAAAUUUGAGCAAGGGAUAGUUUUUAUGCCUGUGAGUUUGUGACAGGUUUAGAAAGAUGUGGGUGAGUGAUAAGGGAUCAAUUGGUGAAUAUGUUACUCCAUGAAAAGUGUCCAGAAAUCUCUUUUAAUGCUAAUACUGUGGGAUUGGAGGAACCUUAAGAAGCAAAUGAUAUCUUAAACAGUUUCUCCAUUUGUAGAUUCUUUAACCCUGCCUUUUUCUGUUUCACUCCCUCACUUCUGAAACAGGAAGAAGAAUAAAUAUAAAAAUGAUGUGAAAUACAGCUGACCAACAUUUAUGGAGGACAACCUGUCAUCUCCUCAUGACCAACCUUCUCAAGUAGCAUACCCCACAUUGGCUCAGUUUUCCUGUCUUAAAGCAAAACUCGAAUAUUGUUUCAAGAUUUUACAGAAGUGAUAUUUUGGAGAAGUCUUGAGAUUAUGAUGUUUACAUAUUUAAACAAUCAAUUAUGAAUUUGCCAUAAGAGAGCUCAGAAUGUAAUGAAUAUAUGAAUUUUGAGAAAGGAUUGGAAGUGGAGAAGAGUAGCCCAGCAAGAAAACAAAACAAAACAAAGAUGAUUAUUACCUACUACAGAUAAAAUGAAGAAUGCAUCAGUAAGUAUGUUAUAGAAUGCAGCGUGUUUAGGGCAAGGCAAUGGAAGAACAUAAAAGUUUUUAUGAAGAACAUCAGGGAGGAUUUUUCCACUUAAAUUAAUAGCGAAGUGAUUACCUGGUGAAAAUGAUAUUUAAAGUGAAGAGAAGGUGACUUUUUCAAAUAUGUCAAAAGCUCUGGAAAAAAUUAAUAAAUUGACUCUUAUCUGAGCA